rnacentral:rRNA from 1 species
UCCGUAGGUGAACCUGCGGAAGGAUCAUUAAUGAAUCUUGAACUUGUAACAUCUGAGAACUGUUGCUGACCUGUUAAAAGGGUAUGUGCACGUUCAAACUGUUACUGGGUUCUGUUCUUAUCCACCUGUGAACCUUUGUAGACUUGGUUAAGCUUUCGCUUUCGAGCGGUUUGAAGGGUUGCUUGCUUGCGAGCUCCCUUUGUCUUACCGAGUCUAUGUCUAUAUAAACUUUUGUAUGUUUAGAAUGUCUUUGUUUAUGGGACGCAAGUCCUUUAAAAUGUUAUACAACUUUCAACAACGGAUCUCUUGGCUCUCGCAUCGAUGAAGAACGCAGCGAAAUGCGAUAACUAAUGUGAAUUGCAGAAUUCAGUGGAAUCAUCGAGUCUUUGAACGCACCUUGCGCCCUUUGGUAUUCCAAAGGGCAUGCCUGUUUGAGUGUCAUUAAAUUCUCAACCUCGCCUUGUUUUAUUACAAGUGCGAUGGAUUGGAUUAUGGGGGUUUGCUGGUCUCUAACGAGAUCAGCUCCUCUGAAAUGCAUUAGCAGAAACCGUUUGACUUUGGCUGCUAGGCUGUGAUAAUAUCUACGCCUUGGUAGUUGGGUUGGAAUACAAAGUGUUAGAGUGAUAAGGAACUAUUACUCAGGCUUUUCGAGUCUGGCUUAGGAUCGGUUUGGAGGGUUGCUUUAACGGCUCCUUCUGCUUUCUCCCUUUGUUGGAGAUACUUGUCCGAUUGUAAGAGAGGAAUUGCUGCUUAUAGCUUUCCAAGAGUUCCUUGAUAUUUCACUUUUGACUUUGUAGAAGGAUUCAGCUUUCUAACGGUCCCAUUGACUUGGACAAUUUAUUGACUAUUUAGACCUCAAAUCAGGAUAGGAUUACCCAGCUGAACUUAAGCAUAUCAAUAAGCGGAGGA